rnacentral:rRNA from 1 species
AUGAUAUGUGAAAAGCGUGUGCUAGAUGUGGGCCCUAUCCACCGUUUUGAUCUGUCCACUCAGGUGCUUUGUCUAGCAGUUGGGUUCCAGAACAAACAACUAGGUAUUCCCAAAGAGGUCAUUCCACUAGUGGCUAGCAUAAUAUUUUCAUGUCGAGACAACGAUCCAAGCAAGCAACCAUCAUUGUACCAGCUCUUGUCAUCGCUGAAGAAAUUACAGUGGUUACAUUGUUACAGAAAGCCUAUGACAAUUUGCGAGUGUUGUUUGUGCAAUAUACUGGUUUUGUGGCAGGUGCAUGUAUGA